ACAGAAUUUUACUGUUUUAUUUUACAGAUCUUUCCUGUAUAUUGAAUAUUCUGUAAAAUUACAGAAAUAUAAUGUAAAUUUAGUACAUAUCCGCCGUAAAAUAAUGUGAAAAACAUGUAACUGUGAAAUAACAUAAAAUUUCCGUUUUUUUAUUGGACUUAAUCACUACUCUGACUGUUCCGCUUGUCAAAUUAGUUCUGCUGCGUUCAAUGUUUCGUUUCGUAACGGAUUUCUUUUCAUAAUAUCAUCUCGUAAUAUAACAUAAUCAUACAUUCUUUGUUGAAAUACGCGGACAUUUAAACUAUGAAGAGUUUAAAUAUUCGAACUGAAUGAAUUCCCGCCCGGCGCAUUGAUACAGUCUCUUCAAAUCACACGGUGAGCGGAGGCUCGGAGCUGACUGGAAUCACUCGACUCGACCGUUAGGAUUGCAGCUGUUCGUGGAUGUGAAGCGAAAUUAAGCAGAUAAAUUGUGUGAGUUUCUGAUAUUAAAGACAUGGUGAAAAGAUAAGUUGUGAGUUUCUGAUAAUAAAGACAUGGUGAAAAGGAAGAGUACGUUGAUUCCUGUGGUCCAAAUCAUUGUUAAUAGCCACAGAACCACUUUCAGUGAUUCUGUUGAGUCUGCGUCCUACAACUACCUGAACAUCUCGUACCCAUCAGGCCAAGGAGCAACGCUGGAGUUCUUGCAGUGGUACGAAACCAGCAGUUAAGUGAAUACAUCAAAACCGUUAUGAAACUCUCUCUCUACAUUAUCUACAUUAAUCCGGACACAUUUGAAAACACUUCUAUCUGAAAACACUUCGGACACUUUUCUGAUAUUUUUACUGUUCAUUUAUUAAAAGAGUUCUAUAGUAGAGUCCUUUUCAUUACUCAUGUUGUUUUUUGUUUGUUUGACAGAUGCCUUUUCAAGAUAAACCCCAAGGGAUCAAAAGUUGAGAAGAGCACUUCAAGAAAGCCGAUGACGGUCAGUCCACAGCAUGUGUCAAACUCCGCUCCUGGGGGCCCACUGUCCUGCAAAGUGCUCCAACCCGCUCCAGAACACCUGCCUGGAAAUUUCUAGCAAUCCUGAAGACAUUGAUUAGCUGGUUCAGGUGUGUUUAAUUAGUUUCUGUAGGGAGAAGAAGUUUAGCUCCAUCCCUGAGUUUGACACCCUUAUUCAAAAGAUUCUUUCUCUCUGAACUGAAACUGCAGACUAUGAAUAGAAGACAUACAUGGAGAACAUUCUUCAGAAGGAAGUCCAAUCUCCCUCCAUUCACUUGCACAGACAUUUUCAUCAGUGUCACGCGGACUUUAAGAACACUCACUCUUUCCUGCUUUGUUUAAUUGUUUGUUUUUUAAUGACUCCUUGUAAUUCAUCUGUCGACCAAUGGUCAGGUUUUGAAGGCAGACUGUUUAAUUAUUAUUCAACUAACUUUUUUUUUUUUCAUUUGUAAUAUUGAUGUAUUGUUAUAUUAAGUAUACUGCUGCAAUUGAAACCAUUACUAGUUUUAAAACUGUUUUUGGCUUUUUAUAAAAUAAAAAACUAAUAAUAAACAUUCUUUUGCAGUUAAGACUGGUUAUUUCUAUUAAAAAGCUAAAGAAAAUACAGAAGAUUUUAUGUAAAAUUACGGUUAUAAAUUGUAUUUUAUUAACAGAAAAGUACUGUAUUUUUAAGAGACAUUUAUUUUAUGGAAUAUUUCAAUGAUUGUACCCUGUCAAAGCCAAUUUUGUACCCUUUUUGAAGGGUCCAUUCUUGUACUGUUAAAUAAAGGUACAAAACUGGUCUCUUCAGGUACAAAUCACAAGGGUACAAAUUUGUACCCUAUGCCAAGGGUACAGCCCCAGUGACAAGCCAUUGUACCCCUGAAGGUAAAAUUAUGUACUUUAAUUUCUGAGAGUGCAGUCUUCAGAGUCACAUGAUCCUUCAGAAAUCAUUAUAAUAUGCUGAUUUAUUAUCAAUGUUGGAAACAGUUGUGUCUGUUUUAGUUUCAAAUUAAACGUAUAAUUUCCAUGAAUCCAUCAUGUCAUAUUUCUGUCUUCAAAAUGUAAAACAUUUGUCUCAACAUUUUUAUGCACUUGUAGGCUAAUUGCUGUAUAAAUGCA